AUUCAUGAUUUAACAAAUUCUGAGAUUCAUGAAGAAUCCAUUGAACCCGAGACACUGGAAAAUAUGGAACUAUCCAUAAAUCCAAUCAAUAUUGAGGCAAAUUUUGAUUGAGUGGAUAUAGUGGUGGAUAAUGUCUUUGCUUAUAAUGUCGCAUCUAGCAUUAUGCAAGAAUGUGAGGAUCUCGAACCUCAAUCUGUUGAAGAAN
rnacentral:lncRNA from 1 species